GAUGAAGAACGUAGCGAAAUGCGAUAAGUAAUGCGAAUUGCAGAAUUCAGUGAGUCAUCGAAUCUUUGAACGCACAUUGCGCCCUGUGGUAUUCCGCAGGGCAUGCCUGUUCGAGCGUCAUUUCAACCCUCAAGCUCUGCUUGGUGUUGGGCCCUGCCCGCUGCGGCCGAACCUAAAGACAGUGGCGGUGCCGCCUGGCCCUGAGCGUAGUACAUCUCUCGCUCCAGUGCCCGGUGGUAGCCUGCCAGAACCCCAACUCUCGUGGUUGACCUCGGAUCAGGUAGGGAUACCCGCUGAACUUAAGCAUAUCAAUAAGCGGAGGA
rnacentral:misc_RNA from 1 species